CUGACCAUAACCUCGACGGCCGUGCGCGUAUGCACACGCAUGGUCCUCGGACGCUGAGCGCGGUCCGCCGUCCUUCGCGGAUGGUGGUCGCUCGAAUGUCAGCCCGCCGCCGACACACACCGGUCCACGCGACCGGCGGCCAAGCUUUGCAGACGCACAGCGAAGGCCGAGCUGAACUGAGCGGCGGAGCGAGCACGGUUGCACUGCACGCAAGCAGCACCAA
rnacentral:misc_RNA from 1 species